rnacentral:rRNA from 1 species
AGUGGGGAAUCUUGCGCAAUGGGCGAAAGCCUGACGCAGCAACGCCGCGUGCGGGAUGACGGCCUUCGGGUUGUAAACCGCUUUCAGUGGGGACGAAAUCAGACGGUACCCACAGAAGAAGCCCCGGCCAACUACGUGCCAGCAGCCGCGGUAACACGUAGGGGGCGAGCGUUGUCCGGAUUCAUUGGGCGUAAAGAGCUCGUAGGCGGCUCAGUAAGUCGGGUGUGAAACCCUCAGGCUCAACCUGGGGACGCCACUCGAUACUGCUGUGGCUAGAGUCCAGUAGGGGAGUGUGGAAUUCCCGGUGUAGCGGUGAAAUGCGCAGAUAUCGGGAGGAACACCAGCGGCGAAGGCGGCACUCUGGGCUGGUACUGACGCUGAGGAGCGAAAGCGUGGGUAGCAAA